GAUGAACGCUGGCGGCGUGCCUAAUACAUGCAAGUCGAGCGAACAGAUGAGGAGCUUGCUCCUCUGACGUUAGCGGCGGACGGGUGAGUAACACGUGGAUAACCUACCUAUAAGACUGGGAUAACUUCGGGAAACCGGAGCUAAUACCGGAUAAUAUAUUGAACCGCAUGGUUCAAUAGUGAAAGACGGUUUUGCUGUCACUUAUAGAUGGAUCCGCGCCGCAUUAGCUAGUUGGUAAGAUAACGGCUUACCAAGGCAACGAUGCGUAGCCGACCUGAGAGGGUGAUCGGCCACACUGGAACUGAGACACGGUCCAGACUCCUACGGGAGGCAGCAGUAGGGAAUCUUCCGCAAUGGGCGAAAGCCUGACGGAGCAACGCCGCGUGAGUGAUGAAGGUCUUCGGAUCGUAAAACUCUGUUAUUAGGGAAGAACAAAUGUGUAAGUAACUAUGCACGUCUUGACGGUACCUAAUCAGAAAGCCACGGCUAACUACGU
rnacentral:rRNA from 1 species